rnacentral:lncRNA from 1 species
GUUGUCAGAUAUGUUAUGGAAAUUAGAUUUGUUUUAAAAAAUUAAAAAUCAUAUGAACAAUUAAUCAGUUAGUUUUUACGGUUGAAUCGAUCUUAUUUUCAUGUCGGGCCCUUUUAUAGUUGACUAUAUGGUUGGGAGUUUUCUUAAUAUUGAAGGCCAUGCAGUGAUCACAUUUGCGUAUAUCCAUGUUCUUUGAACUCUGCUUGGUUGUUGCCUCGUUAGCAAUCAUACCAAUUUCCUUAUUUUUAUAUAAAAGGUUCACAGCAAAAGUUAUUGUUCUUGUGAAGCUGUCCUUUAUUGCAUGCUUAUACGUACAUGAUGGAAAUUAUAAGUCUUGGAGAAGUAGAAUACACUUUUGAGUUAUUAUUUUUUUUUUACAAGUUACUAUGCAGAAUGGGAUAAAUCC